GGGCCAGGGGACAAACCCUGAUUCCCUUUGCAUGCAUCACUUCUGCCAAGGGAGGCUGGCACAGAGGUGAGGGCACCCCCAUUCUGCCUUUCCCAGAGGGGCCUGGCUGCAUCAUCUGGAGAGCUGGCUGAGUAGCCCCACCUGCCGUGUCUGGCUGGGUCAGGAGCCCACAGCUUCCUGCCUGCUUCUGUGCAGCUCCUGGCCACACUUUGCCCAGCCGAGGGUCCCUUGGCCCAGCCCUGUGGCAGUUCCUCUUCUUUCCUAGUCUGGAUGACAGAGCCCAGGAUGCAGUGGGGGAGGACAGACCUGCAGGCCCAAGCAGGCUUGACUCAAACCGCUGAAGUGCUCAGUAGGAACGCGUGCGUGGGGGAAGACAACAGAAGAAGAUGGAGAUAUCGCGUGUCUUCACCAUACAUUUAUCACCUCCGCUCUCUGUAGAAAAAAAUCCUCCCAGGGAUUCAGGAGUCCUGUGACCAGCCUGGCACAAAGAGCCAGAGAAGCAAUUGAAAUCCUGCCAUAUCUUAUUGCUACUUGAAC
rnacentral:lncRNA from 1 species